AUGACUAUUCUUUCAGGGAUCGUUUCUAUAGUUCCUGACUAGAGAAAUGUGUUUCUAAAGUGUUUGGCCUCGCUAACCCCGAUGAUGAAUUGUGAUGUUCCCUUCUGAGAGACGCUCACAGUGAAUAUUAACUGAGUUCAUAGGUUCACUGUUGUUGAUGAUUCGUCUUUGUUUUGUUGCAGAAGAGGGGAACUUGAUCGGAGUGGU
ensembl:snoRNA U3 Small nucleolar RNA U3